AGAUGCAGACCUGAAAAGAGCAUGGGGAUGUAGCUAUGAAGGAAAACAGCUUUUGGUGUCUGAUCUGGGAAUAGUGUCCAGGGGACUGAAAAAAGAAACACCUUUAAAAAUGGCUGAAGUGGGGACUGUCAUUCCUCAAAGGAAUUCCUAAAAGCCCCUAAAGGGCUUUUCCUUUCUUAGGACACAGGCAGUAUUUUAGACAAUAACAACAUUGCCAAGACCUCACAAUGAAACCAGAAGGAUGUGACAGUGAUGUUUUUCAAACAUUUCCGAUAUACCAGCUGGACACUGGUCUGUGCUCUAAAUAUUUUCUCUGCCUUGGGAAACGUAUCUCUGUCCUCAGCUUCAGCAUGAAUUUGCUGAAGCUUUGUGAGGAGCAUAUUGUUAAGAAAACCCCUAUGGAUGAUUCUUGCCAUUUCUUAAUUUUUUAUUUCCUUUCUGUCCCUGGUCACCCAAGAAAGCAGCAACAGCUCCUUUUGUGAUCAUGCAUGGGUUUGUACUCGGAGAGCACCACACACUUUCCAUUGUGCUUUGAAAUAAGGCCAUUUUCCCACUGUUGCCAUGUGGAAGAUAAGACCCUCAGCCUAUGAGGACUACUGUGACUGUAUUUGACCACAGAUGAGAUUAAACUAGGGUAUACAUGGAGCCCCACCUGAGGGCCAGAUGAAUUGUCCCUCCUUGGAGCAGCUGGUCUGCAGUAGGGGACUCUCCCAUUAGUUGGGAGGCUGCCCAAGAUAACUCCUAGAGGUAGAGAGCCCUCGCCUUAUUGGGUGAAUGAUUACACGUUCUUGGUUACCCUUUGAAAACUUAGGAAUUUCUAAGCCAGCUGUUUAUUAGCAAUUCCACUUAACAUCUUGAAUUUGUAAUCAAUCAAUGUUGACAGAGCUUUAACUGCUUUAUAAAAUCAAUCUCAUUUGAGUAUA